rnacentral:rRNA from 1 species
UGGGGAAUAUUGCACAAUGGGCGAAAGCCUGAUGCAGCGACGACGCGUGAGGGAUGAAGGCCUUCGGGUUGUAAACCUCUUUCAGCAGGGAAGAAGCGCAAGUGACGGUACCUGCAGAAGAAGCGCCGGCUAACUACGUGCCAGCAGCCGCGGUAAUACGUAGGGCGCAAGCGUUGUCCGGAAUUAUUGGGCGUAAAGAGCUCGUAGGCGGUUUGUCGCGUCUGGUGUGAAAACUCGAGGCUCAACCUCGAGCUUGCAUCGGGUACGGGCAGACUAGAGUGCGGUAGGGGAGACUGGAAUUCCUGGUGUAGCGGUGGAAUGCGCAGAUAUCAGGAGGAACACCGAUGGCGAAGGCAGGUCUCUGGGCCGCAACUGACGCUGAGGAGCGAAAGCAUGGGGAGCGAACA